CACAUCAAGUGCAUAGUAUAUUUUGCUCAUCUGUCACCAAAAUCGCUAAUCUGUUACUAAGCUGAUAAUAUUAUUGGGAGCUGGGGGAGGGGGAAAGAAUUGGUUGCAACUGAGACGAAAAUAUCACUCUUUCUCUUUCAUUUGGAAGGAUUAAUGGAAAAAGCACAAAUGGACUCCACCAUAUCAUUCAAGCAGUCAGGAAUCGAAUGAACAAAUUCUAGUAUGGCCAAGGGUGGCAGAAAAAACAUGCUCUCUAAAGAUAAGGAAAUGACAGCAUAAGACGGUUGCAAAAAGACUCAGAGAUCUAAGGGGCCGGAAUACGUGCACAAGUCGGCACCACCAAGGGCCGCACAAGCUAGGCACGGGCUGUCAAAACAAAGGGUUGCCAUGCGGGAAUUCCAAGAUGGUUUUGCCCAUUGUCAACUAUGUUGUUAAUGGGAUGGGAGAUGGGGGAGUAACCAAUUGAUAAUGUGUAAAUAUUUCUCUUGCAGCAGGAUUUCAACAAGUUGCUGGGUGUUAGAGUCCGCCAACUCCAUGUGGUAUCUGCGUAUAUGACAUCUAGCUGGAAUUGAAAGAAAAAAAGUACUUCUAAGCAUGGCAUCCUUUGGUUUGAUACACGUUGCUCUGUUGUUAUGGGAUGUGAAAGCCAGAUUGCUCACUACGCACCAUGAUUCUGGCUCAUAGCAACUAGCAGAGAGAGACAGCCAGAGAGAGAGGGAGCACAAGCAGGGGGAUUGGGAGAGGAAGAAGCAG